rnacentral:rRNA from 1 species
AGAGUUUGAUCAUGGCUCAGAACGAACGUUGGCGGCGUGGAUUAGGCAUGCAAGUCGAACGAAUCCCACUUGGGUAACUGGGUGGGGGAAGUGGCGAAAGGGGCAGUAAGGCGUGGGUAACGUACCUCGGGGAUCGGGAUAGCCAUUCUAACGAGUGGGUAAUACCGGGCGAUCUGGCGUGGAGACAUCUUCGUGCCAGGAAAUGAAUUUCGCCUCGAGAGCGGCCCACGUAGUAUUAGCUUGUUGGUGAGGUAACGGCUCACCAAGGCCAAGAUGCUUAGCAGGUGUGAGAGCACGACCUGCGCCACUGGCACUGAGACACUGGCCAGACUCCUACGGGAGGCUGCAGUCGAGGAUCUUCGGCAAUGGGCGCAAGCCUGACCGAGCGACGCCGCGUGUGCGAUGAAGGCCUUCGGGUUGUAAAGCACUGUCGAGGGGGAGAAAGGUCCGCAAGGGCUUGAUCUAUCCCUGGAGGAAGCACGGGCUAAGUUCGUGCCAGCAGCCGCGGUAAGACGAACCGUGCGAACGUUGUUCGGAAUCACUGGGCUUAAAGGGCGCGUAGGCGGGUCAUCAAGUCAGGGGUGAAAUACUUCGGCCUAACCGGAGAACGGCUUCUGAUACUGGUGACCUCGAGGGGUGUAGGGGCAUGUGGAACUUCCGGUGGAGCGGUGAAAUGCGUAGAUAUCGGAAGGAACGCCGGUGGCGAAAGCGACGUGCUGGACACCUUCUGACGCUGAGGCGCGAAAGCCAGGGGAGCAAACGGGAUUAGAUACCCCAGUAGUCC